AUGUCCUCCACAUCAACUAACAGCCAAGAGAAAAUGUUUCAGCAUGCACAGAAAAACCAAUUCAGUAAAAGGUCUUCCUCAAAACAUGAGUUGCAACAUCACAAUGCAGGAAAAGAUAGGGGAUUGAUUCAUCUUCACAGAAGCACACAGGACAAACCUAAUUAUGGCGUGCAGAGAAAACCCUCUCCUGACCUGAUCAUCCUUAGUAGCCAACUGGCUUAG